rnacentral:lncRNA from 1 species
UAGAUUAACCGUAACAUUACCCUGGGCAUCCGGUGGUGAGUAUAUUACCGGGAAGGCCUCUGGAAUCAAUUGUGCAGCUAUCUCGUGUUCACCCUCACAUAGGGCCUCAUUUGCUAUUUGGUUCCACAUCCUCUGCCUCUGUUGAACACCGUCUGUAAACGGGCUGGUGUUUUUUCUGUCUGGUUUUUGCUCUCUUAUUUCCUCAUCCAUCUGAGGGUUAACACUACCAGCUCUUCCUGGCAAUCCCAGUUGCUCUGUAGCGGCAGCAGCGACUCUCUGCUCGGCCUGAUGUAUAGCUAAGGCGUUAGUGACUGCUUUCCAAGGCUUCGAUAAUUUUUUAGCAGUCUUAUUGUCAUUAAUAACUUCAUCAAACAAUUUGUCCCCAAAUUUGCGCCACUCUGCUUGUUCAAAAACUGUAUCCAGAUUGAUAAAACAACCCUUUGUUACUCCAUAUGCUAAUAAUCCUGGUAAAUCUUUUUUGCAGUCUAUACCCUGCGUGCUGCGGUUUUCUAAAAAGCAUUUGAGCAAAUCAUAUGCCUCCAUGCCUUUAUUUAUGCUGUUGCAGCCUUUGCGAGACACAUGACUGACAGGGACCCUCUAUAGGUGCUCUCGGGUGCGGGGAUUCCGCGUUUACGUCCCGUUACGUCCCGUUCACCUGUCAGAGUGCAGGUGAGGGGAUUAUCGUCCCUUUUACCUCUACCGCAAUUACUUCAGUGUCUCGCGAUUACUUCAAUUUCCUGCGCGGUUCCGUACCCCGCGUCUCUCACCGUGAGUCCCCGCGUCCCCGCGUCCCACCGUGUCCCGCGUCUCUCACCGGGAGUACCGCGUUUUCCGCGUCUCACCGGGAGUAGCGCGUCUCACCGUGAGUCCUGUGUACAGCGUGUGCGGCUCGGUGUCUGGUCAGCUGCAGCGCCGCUCCGAUGUCCGCUCCGAUGUCCCGCGCCGCUCCGAUGUCUCAGUCUCGGCGCUGUGAUGUCCCGGCGCCGCUGGUCCCGACGCCGCUGGUCUCCUGGUCUACCUGAGUUCGGAUGUGCCGGCGCCGCUGGUGUCCCGCUGCACUGGUGUCCCGCUGCGCUGCGGUGUUUGCCCCGGCGCCGCUGCGAUGUCCGUGCUCGGCUGCGAUGUCCUGCUCCGGUGCGAUGUCUGUCCCGCUGCGAUGUCCUGUUCAGGCCUUGUUCAGGUCUCAGCCUGUUCGGGCGCCAUUUGUUGCGAAGCACGGACAAAAGCACAACAGACACCAGCAGAGUCA